CCACCAGAGCCAGCAGCUGCUCGGGGGGGGCCCCGCGCCCCAAAAGGGACCCCCCGCACCCCAAAAGGGACCCCCCGGGCUCGGGGGAUUCACCCCCCGACAGGGAACCCUCGGAGUCGGAGCCCGAGGGAGGAGCGGCCUCGUCCCCUGAAAGGGACCCGUCCAGGGAGGGGUCUCUGUCCCCCAAAAGGGACCCCUCAGACCCCAAAUGGGACCCCUCGGACCCCAAAUGGGACCCCAAAAGAGACCCCUCGGACCCCAAAUGGGACCCCAAAAGAGACCCCUCGGACCCCAAAAGGGACCCCUCGGACCCCAAAUGGGACACCUCAGACCCCAAAACAGACCCUCUAUCCCCCAAAAUGCACCCCUCGGACCCCAAAAUGCACCCCUCAGACCCCAAAACGGACCCCCUGGACCCCAAAUGGGACCCGUUGUCCCCCAAAACGGACCCGUUGUCCCCCAAAAGGGACCCCCCGGACCCCAAAAGGGACUCCCUGGAAGGGGGGUUCACCCUGUCCCCCAAAAGGGACCCCCCAGACCCCAAAAGGGACCCCUUUAUGGGGGGGUCCUUGUCCCCCAAACGGGACCCAUUGGGAGGGGGGUCCCCAUCCCCCAGCAGGGUCCCCUGCCUCUGGGGGUCCCCAUUUGGGGUCUCCGGGCUCUGGGGGUCCCCAUUUGGGGUCUCCCGGUUUUGGGGGUCCCCGUCCUGGCCCCCCAGCUCCAGGUGCAGGUCGAGGUCGCAGCCGUGGACGUCGAAGCCGUUGACGGAGGAGCCGUAGGGGACAACGGAGCAGCCUGGGGGGGACACGGGGACAGGUGGGGAUGGGGGAGGACAGGUGGGGGACACACCUGGACACACCUGGGACACGUCACACACACCUGGAGCACACCUGGACACACCUGGGACACGUCACACACACCUGGAGCACACCUGGGACACGUCACACACA
rnacentral:lncRNA from 1 species